rnacentral:tRNA from 1 species
AAUUUUAUAGUUUAAUUAAAAUAUGAGAUUGCAAUUCUUGAGAUUCUGUAGGAUAAAAUUUAUUAUAAAAUAA